rnacentral:misc_RNA from 1 species
GAUGAAGAACGUAGCGAAAUGCGAUAAGUAAUGUGAAUUGCAGAAUUCAGUGAAUCAUCGUAUCUUUGAACGCACAUUGCGCCCCCUGGUAUUCCGGGGGGCAUGCCUGUCCGAGCGUCAUUACAACCCUCAAGCUCAGCUUGGUGUUGGGCCCCGCCGCCCCGGCGGGCCCUAAAGUCAGUGGCGGUGCCGUCCGGCUCCGAGCGUAGUAAUUCUUCUCGCUCUGGAGGUCCGGUCGUGUGCUCGCCAGCAACCCCCAAUUUUUUUCAGGUUGACCUCGGAUCAGGUAGGGAUACCCGCUGAACUUAAGCAUAUCAAUAAGCGGAGGA